GGGUUGUGAGGUUAAGCGACUAAGCGUACACGGUGGAUGCCCUGGCAGUCAGAGGCGAUGAAGGACGUGCUAAUCUGCGAUAAGCGUCGGUAAGGUGAUAUGAACCGUUAUAACCGGCGAUUUCCGAAUGGGGAAACCCAGUGUGAUUCGUCACACUAUCAUUAACUGAAUCCAUAGGUUAAUGAGGCGAACCGGGGGAACUGAAACAUCUAAGUACCCCGAGGAAAAGAAAUCAACCGAGAUUCCCCCAGUAGCGGCGAGCGAACGGGGAGCAGCCCAGAGCCUGAAUCAGUGUGUGUGUUAGUGGAAGCGUCUGGAAAGGCGCGCGAUACAGGGUGACAGCCCCGUACACAAAAAUGCACAUGCUGUGAGCUCGAUGAGUAGGGCGGGACACGUGGUAUCCUGUCUGAAUAUGGGGGGACCAUCCUCCAAGGCUAAAUACUCCUGACUGACCGAUAGUGAACCAGUACCGUGAGGGAAAGGCGAAAAGAACCCCGGCGAGGGGAGUGAAAAAGAACCUGAAACCGUGUACGUACAAGCAGUGGGAGCACGCUUAGGCGUGUGACUGCGUACCUUUUGUAUAAUGGGUCAGCGACUUAUAUUCUGUAGCAAGGUUAACCGAAUAGGGGAGCCGAAGGGAAACCGAGUCUUAACUGGGCGUUAAGUUGCAGGGUAUAGACCCGAAACCCGGUGAUCUAGCCAUGGGCAGGUUGAAGGUUGGGUAACACUAACUGGAGGACCGAACCGACUAAUGUUGAAAAAUUAGCGGAUGACUUGUGGCUGGGGGUGAAAGGCCAAUCAAACCGGGAGAUAGCUGGUUCUCCCCGAAAGCUAUUUAGGUAGCGCCUCGUGAAUUCAUCUCCGGGGGUAGAGCACUGUUUCGGCAAGGGGGUCAUCCCGACUUACCAACCCGAUGCAAACUGCGAAUACCGGAGAAUGUUAUCACGGGAGACACACGGCGGGUGCUAACGUCCGUCGUGAAGAGGGAAACAACCCAGACCGCCAGCUAAGGUCCCAAAGUCAUGGUUAAGUGGGAAACGAUGUGGGAAGGCCCAGACAGCCAGGAUGUUGGCUUAGAAGCAGCCAUCAUUUAAAGAAAGCGUAAUAGCUCACUGGUCGAGUCGGCCUGCGCGGAAGAUGUAACGGGGCUAAACCAUGCACCGAAGCUGCGGCAGCGACGCUGAUGCGUUGUUGGGUAGGGGAGCGUUCUGUAAGCCUGUGAAGGUGUGCUGUGAGGCAUGCUGGAGGUAUCAGAAGUGCGAAUGCUGACAUAAGUAACGAUAAAGCGGGUGAAAAGCCCGCUCGCCGGAAGACCAAGGGUUCCUGUCCAACGUUAAUCGGGGCAGGGUGAGUCGACCCCUAAGGCGAGGCCGAAAGGCGUAGUCGAUGGGAAACAGGUUAAUAUUCCUGUACUUGGUGUUACUGCGAAGGGGGGACGGAGAAGGCUAUGUUGGCCGGGCGACGGUUGUCCCGGUUUAAGCGUGUAGGCUGGUUUUCCAGGCAAAUCCGGAAAAUCAAGGCUGAGGCGUGAUGACGAGGCACUACGGUGCUGAAGCAACAAAUGCCCUGCUUCCAGGAAAAGCCUCUAAGCAUCAGGUAACAUCAAAUCGUACCCCAAACCGACACAGGUGGUCAGGUAGAGAAUACCAAGGCGCUUGAGAGAACUCGGGUGAAGGAACUAGGCAAAAUGGUGCCGUAACUUCGGGAGAAGGCACGCUGAUAUGUAGGUGAAGUCCCUCGCGGAUGGAGCUGAAAUCAGUCGAAGAUACCAGCUGGCUGCAACUGUUUAUUAAAAACACAGCACUGUGCAAACACGAAAGUGGACGUAUACGGUGUGACGCCUGCCCGGUGCCGGAAGGUUAAUUGAUGGGGUCAGCGCAAGCGAAGCUCUUGAUCGAAGCCCCGGUAAACGGCGGCCGUAACUAUAACGGUCCUAAGGUAGCGAAAUUCCUUGUCGGGUAAGUUCCGACCUGCACGAAUGGCGUAAUGAUGGCCAGGCUGUCUCCACCCGAGACUCAGUGAAAUUGAACUCGCUGUGAAGAUGCAGUGUACCCGCGGCAAGACGGAAAGACCCCGUGAACCUUUACUAUAGCUUGACACUGAACAUUGAGCCUUGAUGUGUAGGAUAGGUGGGAGGCUUUGAAGUGUGGACGCCAGUCUGCAUGGAGCCGGCCUUGAAAUACCACCCUUUAAUGUUUGAUGUUCUAACGUUGACCCGUGAUCCGGGUUGCGGACAGUGUCUGGUGGGUAGUUUGACUGGGGCGGUCUCCUCCUAAAGAGUAACGGAGGAGCACGAAGGUUGGCUAAUCCUGGUCGGACAUCAGGAGGUUAGUGCAAUGGCAUAAGCCAGCUUGACUGCGAGCGUGACGGCGCGAGCAGGUGCGAAAGCAGGUCAUAGUGAUCCGGUGGUUCUGAAUGGAAGGGCCAUCGCUCAACGGAUAAAAGGUACUCCGGGGAUAACAGGCUGAUACCGCCCAAGAGUUCAUAUCGACGGCGGUGUUUGGCACCUCGAUGUCGGCUCAUCACAUCCUGGGGCUGAAGUAGGUCCCAAGGGUAUGGCUGUUCGCCAUUUAAAGUGGUACGCGAGCUGGGUUUAGAACGUCGUGAGACAGUUCGGUCCCUAUCUGCCGUGGGCGCUGGAGAACUGAGGGGGG
rnacentral:rRNA from 1 species